rnacentral:rRNA from 1 species
CCCUAUGGACGCAGCAGUAGGGAAUCUUCCACAAUGGACGAAAGUCUGAUGGAGCAACGCCGCGUGAGUGAAGAAGGGUUUCGGCUCGUAAAGCUCUUUGGGUAGUGAAGAAAGAUAGAGGUAGUAACUGGCCUUUAUUUGACGGUAAUUACUUAGAAAGUCACGGCUAACUACGUGCCAGCAGCCGCGGUAAUACGUAGGUGGCAAGCGUUGUCCGGAUUUAUUGGGCGUAAAGCGAGUGCAGGCGGU